rfam:Gemmobacter megaterium strain DSM 26375 genome assembly, contig: Ga0111664_105
AGGGCGGACCGGGCCCCUCUGACGACAUGGUGUCGUGAUGUCGGACCGCCGGG